rnacentral:rRNA from 1 species
UCUGCGGUUUACCGGGCCAGCAUCGGUUUGGAGCGGUAGGAUAAUGGCGGGGGAAUGUGGCACGACUUUGGUUGUGUGUUAUAGCCUCUGACGAUACUGCCAGCCUAGACCGAGGACUGCGGUUUUUACCUAGGAUGUUGGCAUAAUGAUCUUAAGUCGCCCGUCUUGAAACACGGACCAAG